GGGAUUUAAGUGAAAUGAUAAAGCCACCCGUUCAAACCGAACCGGUGGGGAAAAUAUUAAUCCCACCGGUUUUGAACCGGUGGCAACGUUAAAAAAAAAAACCGCUCUUUUAUAAACCCUAAGCAAGCCUCUCCUCUCUCCCUUUACUCUCCUGCCUCUUUAUCUCUCCUCUCAACUCGCCUCUCCCCUCUUUCUCUCUCCUCUCAGCUCGCCUCUCCUGCCUCCUUCUCUCUCCUAAUCUCUUCUUUCUACUCCUUCUCAUCUCCUUCCUAAGCCCUCCUCAAAGGCCUCCACACAAUGAAGCCGCCCUCCACCGCACUUCGAGCUCGUCCCUUCUUCUCUCCCUCGAUCUACUUCUCUUUCCCCUCAAAGCCCACCACCGCCACCGCCACUAACCACCGCCACGAAGACCGAUCAUUUUUCACACUUUCAUGGUUUUGUAUGGUCGAAUAAUGAAGGUUCACAGAGCAAAAGGAUUCAAGCAAAAGGAUUCAAGAUGUUGAUUUUGGAAAUUCGAUUUUGCAAUUUUUUUUUUUUGAAAUUGUAAAAUACUGCAAUAAUUCAUUUGAUGAAUAUAUCGUUGUCUCACAAUUUUAAGUGAAAAAGCAUAUUAUUGGCAUUUAUUUGAUGAAUAUAUCGUUGAUGAAUAUAUUAUUGCAGUUUUUUAA